rnacentral:tRNA from 1 species
GCAAGUAUAGUUUAAUGGUAAAAUGUCUGCCUUCCAAGCGGAGGUUGGGGGUUCGAUUCCCUUUACUUGUA